rnacentral:sRNA from 1 species
ACGGAUGCAUAAAAGAGCUUGUUCAGGCAAAGGCCUUGUGGGUAAAAAAUGAGGUAAUUAAUUAUGGAAGACAUCCAUAACCAUGUUUUUGUCAAGGAAGUAAGUUUUGGGAGGAUAUAUUUUUGGAAACAGAGAUACGGAGAGAGAGCCACAGAUCUUUACCUAUUUGGGGUAGGCAGAGAAGGAUCAAGGAGGGCAUUCUUGUUUUAUUAGACUUAGUUUGGAUUAAACUUUUUUUUUGUUUGAGAUGGAGUCUGGCCCUGUCACCCAGGCUGGAGUACAGUGGCACGAUCUUGGCACAGCGCAACCUCCGCCUCCUGGGUUCAAGCAAUUCUCCUGCCUCAGCCUCCCAAGUAGCUAGUGCAUGCCACCACGCCUGGCUAAUUUUUUGUAGUUUUAGUAGAGACGGGGUUUCGCCGUGUUAGCCAGGACGGUCUGGAUCUCCUGACCUCGUGAUCCACUGGCCUUGGCCUCCCGAAGUGCUGGGAUUACAGGCGUGAGCCACCGCACCCAGCCCUAGCUUAAACUUUUAAUUGAAAUAAAAUAUAUAGAAAAUUGAACAGAUCAUGAGUAUACAGCUUAAUAAGCACACCUAUGUAACCAGCACUGAGAUUAAAAAACGGGACAUUUCUGGUUCCCCAGAAGUCCCCUCCUUGUCUGUGGUCUAGAUUUGAUUUAUACCGAAUCUAAAAUAGCAUUUGUUUCCAAACAUAUUUAAGACAUUGCCAGGGGAAAAACAACAAUUAAUGUGGGGUGAUUUUGUCAGUUUGGGGUCACACAGCUCUCAAACCAACUCAAGUCAUUUUCCAUUCUUUUUCUCCUUCAAAGCUGUCAAUUCCAUGCCAGUGGAUAACAGGAACCACAAUGAAGAAAUGGUGACUCACUGCAUCAUUGAGGUCCUCUCAAAUGCCUUGUCGAAGUCCAGCGCUCCACCCAUCACCCCUGAGUGCCGCCAAGUCCUGAAGACGAGUAAGUGUCCCACACUGCAGGCAGAUCUUGGUCGCUGCAGUGAUCCUUUUUCCUACUCCCUCCACAUCACCUUCUACUUUAUCUACAAAUGACCUGGGGGCAUAAUGCACUAGGAAGAGUAUUGAUUGACUAGGCCAGUAUCUGGGAGACAGAAGAUAUGACUCCUAGUUCCUGCUUUACCACUUCGCAGCUGUGUGACUAUAGGAAAGACCCUUUGCCUCUCUUUUCCUCAAAGUAAAAUGAAGGAGUUGAACUCAGUGAUAGUCUUUCAGAUGUCUAUCCGUUCUUAAAUUCCUUAGUUCCAUACUUUGGAUUUUUAGAACAGGACUUCAUCUGGGUGGAGGGGGUUUGGGAAAUGCUGGUUUGUGAUUAGAUGAGGAGGGGGGUUAUGGAAGUGUUGGAAGAUGACAGAGGGAGAUUUAAAAAUCAUUCUUCUCUUUGCCUUUUGCUCUUCUGACAGUGAGAAUCAGGAAGCUGAGAAGCAAGAAACUUAGAAAGGUGACUUAAAAUUCUGGCCUAUUUACACAACAAAUUAGCUAAGAUAUUUUAAUGCACAGCUUACUAGAAUAGAAGGUAUCACCAAAUGGUACCAGGAGUUCCAGGCCUGAGAACUGGAAGGGUUUCAGGUAGAGGCAGUGCAUUCCAGUGAGGCAGACUAACGGCUUUCUGAGUCCAACUUGUGAAGUGUUCUCAAUAUGAAAUCAUUUCUGCUGAAAAUAAAAUUUGAACAGUAAUAUAAGCAGUAUCCGUUGGAAAUUGACAUCAUGAGGUCAAUUUUACAAGACUAUGCAGUCUCUGUUAUGCAUGAAGCCAAACUGAUUCAAACAAAUCCAGAAAACACUGCCCUCUUCAACACUGUCCUCUGCUUUUAAACUUGUAGUCAGGCUGGGAACAGUAGAUUUUAUCUUAUUUUUUCACCUUUAAAAAUCUUUCAGGUGGGCAUGGUGGCUCACGCCUGUAAUCCCAGCACUUUGGAGGCCGAGGCAGGUGGAUCACCUGAGGUCAGGAGUUUGAGACCAGCCUGGCCAACAUAGCAAAACCCUGUCUCUACCAAAAAUAC